AAGUCGUAACAAGGUUUCCGUAGGUGAACCUGCGGAAGGAUCAUUGCAAAUGUGAGGGGAGAGAGGAGAAAGUCGUUGGAAUGUGACGAGAAAUAAUUUAUUGACAACGACAUUUAUUACUUUUACAACUCUCCACAAUGGAUCUCUGGGCUCUU
rnacentral:misc_RNA from 1 species